rnacentral:rRNA from 1 species
AAACCUUUACACUGCACGCAAGUGCGAUAAGGGGACCCCAAGUGCGAGGGCAUAUAGUCCUCGCUUUUCACGACUGUAAGGCGGUCGUGGAAUAAGAGCUGGGCAAGACCGGUGCCAGCCGCCGCGGUAAUACCGGCAGCUCAAGUGAUGACCGAUAUUAUUGGGCCUAAAGCGUCCGUAGCCGGCCACGAAGGUUCAUCGGGAAAUCCGCCAGCUCAACUGGCGGGCGUCCGGUGAAAACCACGUGGCUUGGGACCGGAAGGCUCGAGGGGUACGUCCGGGGUAGGAGUGAAAUCCCGUAAUCCUGGACGGACCACCGAUGGCGAAAGCACCUCGAGAAGACGGAUCCGACGGUGAGGGACGAAAGCUAGGGUCUCGAACCGGAUUAGAUACCCGGGUAGUCCUAGCUGUAAACGAUGCUCGCUAGGUGUGACACAGGCUACGAGCCUGUGUUGUGCCGUAGGGAAGCCGAGAAGCGAGCCGCCUGGGAANACUCCGCAAGA